rnacentral:lncRNA from 1 species
UUUUUAAUUAAUUAUUUGCUCUUAGUUUGUAUAAAAAUUUAAUAAUAAGAGAAAAUUCGUGGGGCGCGGGGAGCACGACAGCAGCACGUCACCCGCAGCGGGGCGUGGAGCAGCCCGUGAGUGAGGCAUAUGCAGCAACACAAUGUAAUCUGCAGGGCACGGGACAUCCAUGAGGUCGCAAGCCAGAUAACAAAAGCCAUCGGUGGGGCGUGGGACAUGCCGUGAGCGAGGCAGUAGAUGCAAGGAAGCAGCAGCUCGCGGGAGGGCAAGGAGUUCACAAAGGGAGGUAAUUUUUCUGUAAAAAUUGGGUAAUGUUUUAGCAAAUUUUAUUUAAUUAAAAUAGAAAAAUCAUUAGGGGAAUUAUUUUUAAGAACAACGGAG